UUUUAAAAACCCCGAUAAUACAUAAAACCCAAUAAUACCAAAAAAAAAACUAAAUUCUGAUUUUCUAUUUCUCCCGUUCCCCUUCUCCUUCCCCGUUCCACUUCUUUGUCAUAAAAAACCUCUGUUUCUCUUCAACACAAAAAACCCGAUAAUGACUUUCUUCUCCAUUGUUUCACAAACAUGAGAACAACGACUACACAAUGCACUCGGCAGAGAGGCUCCACAACACCAUUGAGAUCUGUGGCGGAUUGACCCAAGAGACAACUCUCCACUUCCACCCAUUUGCACGGAUGGGUUUGCUUGAAGGUUUUCUCUCUCUCUUUGGAACACUGGUAAUUCAGCUUAGGCGACAUGGGGGAGGCAUUGCUUACUUGAGUGGCAAUGCUUCUGCUCUGUCCCUGUGUAGAUACUAUUUCAUUUGAUGGAGAUCAAUAAUGAUUAUUCUAAUGAAGCCACAAACGUCAUUGCUUUUCAAGUAGUCAUGGGUUAUGCACCUGGCUUCAUUUUGAUCCAGGGGUUCCGAUUCAAGAGUACAUGUCUUAAAUGCACACAGGGGAAAUACUCUAGACAGCCACAGGCUUAUGCAUUUCGCUGGGCAACAGGGUCUUGAUAAGCAACAUAAUCUUAUGGAGGUGCUCUCUCUUGGUUACUUCACUCAGGCAAAAUUUAUUGGUGACAAAUUGCUGAAUAAAUAUAUUGCUUGAAAUUCAUUCUCUCUCAAUCGCGCUAUAGUCUGCCCCCUCAAUCUUUGCCUUUUAUCAACGCCACCACCAAGGCUUACAUCAGUGAUACUUCAAAUGAAUGCAGUAGCAACUUAUCAAGUGAACAAGGUAAUGAUUCUACAAAGUUUCAAAAAGUUGAUGUUCAAAGCAAUGUGCAACUCACACCAACAUCUAUGCUCAAGGAAAACAAAAGGACAUAUUUAGUGACUAUUACAAAGCAACAAAGGAAGAAGAUACAAAAAACACUUUUUAAAGUUUUUUUUUUUUUUUUCAAUUUAUUUGAAAUAAUGAUUAAGUAGUUCUUUAAAUUUGUGUUUCAUACAUUUUAUGGAUAAUUGAGGAUGUUAAAGAUUUAAUUCUUCAUUUUAUUUUAAACUUAAGUUUGAUUUCUA